GGGUCUGAGAGAGGAAAGGGCCAGGACUAGGGCUAGAGGAAGUGGGACUGGAGACCACAGGCAUCUGUGGCUGAAGAAGGAGGGCCUGGGGUCGUGGACUCCUGGGUCUCAGGGAGGAGGGGGCUGAACACUUUGUGAUUCCUGAGCGAGUGGGGGUUGGUUGGGGACCUCCUGCCCAGUGCCUCUGCUGGUUCUGGGUGCGCUCAGCAUGGUCCUGACCCUCCUUGAGCACCGAUUCCUGAUGUUUCCUGUUUGCCCGCAGUGGGGUAAGCAGAGUGACAUUACCUGAUGGACACACGCCAUUCACAGCCCCCGUCACGAUGCCUCCCUUCCAGCGCUUCGUGUGCAGCACGCGCUGCACCCUCUCGUUUCGUCUCCACCACGGCCUUACUGGCUGUAGCUUGAGCCACAGUAACUGAUCUGGGGGCUCCCACCAGGUUGACCUGGCUCCAGAGCUCUCAGAGAUUUUGGGAUUGCCUUUCCCCCAUGCUAUCCUAUCCUCAUCCAUCACCACCUGAAUGUCUCUUGUCAUAGGUAAGGAGGGGCUAGUGGGCUUUGCAGACCUCUCAAGUUCUGAAGGCAGAGCUGCGUGAGCCUGAGUCGCGUCUUAACUUUUCUGACCUUCCAUUUCCUCCUCUGAAAAGAGAAGCAACCCUCCCUCUUCACUCCCCCCACAUCAGGCUACUCUUGGGAGGAUUCAGUAACUUGGUCGUUCAUAUUAAGGUUUGGCCACCAGGGGGCUUUUGCUUUCAGGAUUGCUGCUCAACUGGUCCUGGAAGGAGUGAGGCCCAGAAACUUCCUGCCUGACCCGUGGGAGAUUUGGUGUUCUCAGUCCCACCUCCGAGCUUUGCUGACUUGCCUCCCUAGUCAGGAAUGCCUUCCCUUUCCCAUCUGCCUGCUCAAACCCUCCAGGGUCCUUGUAGAAAGAGGACCUUCCUGAUUCUCCCCUCCCACCCAGUCCAGGGCAUACGGCUCUCCCAAACCCUACCACGUAGGUCCCCUACCCAUAGGUCCUAUCCUGAUUCUGUGGCCUUCCAACCGUUUUGGGUUAUGCUCUCCCUAAUUAGACUGAUCAUUAAGGGCAAAGACCAGACCUGUCUGGACAAUACAGCAUUAUUCAUCCAAGAAACAUUUAUUGAGCAUAUAAUGUGUGCAGGGGCUGUUCUAGGCACUGGUGAGAGAAAAAAGACCGAAUCUUUCAUGGAGCUUACAGCCUUGUGGGAAAGACACUUAUAUAAUGUCAGAUAAUUAGU
rnacentral:lncRNA from 1 species